rnacentral:rRNA from 1 species
UGGCGGACGGGUGAGUAACGCGUGGGUAACCUGCCUUACACAGGGGGAUAACACCUGGAAACAGGUGCUAAUACCGCAUAAGCGCACAGGGCCGCAUGGCCCGGUGUGAAAAACUCCGGUGGUGUAAGAUGAACCCGCGUCUGAUUAGCUUGUUGGCGGGGUAGAGGCCCACCAAGGCGACGAUCAGUAGCCGGCCUGAGAGGGUGGACGGCCACAUUGGGACUGAGACACGGCCCAAACUCCUACGGGAGGCAGCAG